rnacentral:rRNA from 1 species
CCAGACUCCUACGGGAGGCAGCAGUGGGGAAUAUUGCACAAUGGGGGAAACCCUGAUGCAGCGACGCCGCGUGAGUGAAGAAGUAUUUCGGUAUGUAAAGCUCUAUCAGCAGGGAAGAAAAUGACGGUACCUGAUUAAGAAGCCCCGGCUAACUACGUGCCAGCAGCCGCGGUAAUACGUAGGGGGCAAGCGUUAUCCGGAUUUACUGGGUGUAAAGGGGGCGCAGACGGCAAUGCAAGCCAGGAGUGAAAGCCCGGGGCCCAACCCCGGGACUGCUCUUGGAACUGCAUGGCUGGAGUACAGGAGGGGCAGGCGGAAUUCCUAGUGUAGCGGUGAAAUGCGUAGAUAUUAGGAGGAACACCAGUGGCGAAGGCGGCUUACUGGACUGUAACUGACGUUGAGGCUCGAAAGCGUGGGGAGCAAACAGGAUUAGAUACCCCCGUAU